GACGUAGGGCGCGAGCGUUGUCCGGAUUUAUUGGGCGUAAAGAGCUCGUAGGCGGCUCGUUGCGUCGGCUGUGAAAACCCGCAGCUCAACUGUGGGCUUGCAGCCGAUACGGGCGGGCUAGGAUUCGGUAGGGGAGACUGGAAUUCCUGGUGUAGCGGUGAAAUGCGCAGAUAUCAGGAGGAACACCGGUGGCGAAGGCGG
rnacentral:rRNA from 1 species